GAUCAUAGAAGCAGCUUUAAAAGAAAAAGCUGGUGGUGAAGAAGUGCCAAAGGAAUAACAAAUAACAAAAACCCUAAGUCAUACUACAAGAAGGAAGUUGGUUAAUAUACUGGUUUCUCACAUGAUUUAACACCAUGGGCCACCCGGGAACAGUCUGCCCUUGGGAUUGUGAUGGCGUUUCCUUCUCUCAAAGAUCCAUAUGUCAAGAAAGGCUAUGAGCACCUCUAUGAUGCUGCGGGUGGAUCAGGGUACAUCUCAAGGCUGAAGAUGGUCCAAAGGCGGAAAAGGCAAGUGACUCCACAGCCACCGGACAGCCCUGUUGACUAUUCUCAAGGAGGCCCAACACAUCAGAGGACUGUUCAGGUCGAACAACAGCUGGACGGUGAUACAUGC